rnacentral:piRNA from 1 species
CUGCUGUUACUAAGAUGGUUCUU